rnacentral:rRNA from 1 species
GACGAACGCUGGCGGCGUGCCUAAUACAUGCAAGUAGAACGCACAGUUUAUACCGUAGCUUGCUACGCCAUAGACUGUGAGUUGCGAACGGGUGAGUAACGCGUAGGUAACCUGCCUGGUAGCGGGGGAUAACUAUUGGAAACGAUAGCUAAUACCGCAUAAUAUUGAUUAUUGCAUGAUAAUUGAUUGAAAGAUGCUAUUGCAUCACUACCAGAUGGACCUGCGUUGUAUUAGCUAGUAGGUGAGGUAACGGCUCACCUAGGCGACGAUACAUAGCCGACCUGAGAGGGUGAUCGGCCACACUGGGACUGAGACACGGCCCAGACUCCUACGGGAGGCAGCAGUAGGGAAUCUUCGGCAAUGGACGAAAGUCUGACCGAGCAACGCCGCGUGAGUGAAGAAGGUUUUCGGAUCGUAAAGCUCUGUUGUAAGAGAAGAACGGGUGUGAGAGUGGAAAGUUCACACUGUGACGGUAGCUUACCAGAAAGGGACGGCUAACUACGUG